CAUAGUAGACACACAAUUUAUAUCAGUUUUAGGUAUACAACAUAGUGAUUUGACACAUCUAUAAUGUUAUGCCAUGCUCACCUCAAGUGUAGCUACUGUCUGUCACCAUGCAAUGCCAUUACAAUAUCACGGACGGUAGUCCCUAUGCUGUGCUUUAUUCCUGUGACUCAGUCAUUCCACAACCGAAAGCUUCAGCCUCUCCCCUUCACCCAUUUUGCCCAACCCUCCGUCCCCCUUCCUUCUGACAACCAUCAGUUUGUUCUCUGUACUUAUAAGUCUGAUUCUGUUUUUUGUUUAUUCAUUUGUUUUGUUUUUUUUAGAUUCCACACAAGUGAACUCAUAUGGUCUAUGACGAUGACUUUUUAGAUACAACACUAAAAGCAGGAUCCACUGCUUAGGAAUAACUGAUAAGAUAGACUUCAUUAAAAUUAAAAACUUCUGCUCUGCAAAAGACACUGCCAGGAAAAUAAGAAAACAAACCACAUACUGAAAGAAAAUAUUUGCAGAAGACAGAUCUGAUAAAGGACUGUUCUCUCAAGGCUGUGCAGCAUCAAAGAAGCAUGCGGAUUUGUACGGAUGCCUCAACUUGUAGGUCAAUAAAGGGAGUUUGAAAGAUGAACAAAGAAAGGUGACUGGUGCAGAAAAUGCUAUUAAAUCUGAAGAGUAAGUUUUGUCCAGAGUAACUGAGAAGUGGCCUCAUUCUUGAAAAUUUCUAAGACCGGAAAGCAUUAUACACCAAAGAGAACAACUUUAACUCUAGCCCACUUUAUUAAACUCCACCAGUGACACACAUUCACGUUUCAAUGUUUAUGCAGCUGCCCUAAAUAAAUACUAAUAUUUGUUAUCUGUGUGCUUUUA